CCAUUGGUGAAGUCCUGAGACGGUUAGGGUGUGGGGAGCAUGUCGCUGCAUUUGAAGCCCAAAAGAUCAGCAUUGAGCAAGUGGAGGUAAUGACGGAUGAAGAUUUUCAGAAAGUUGGCUUGAAUACGAUUGGAAUCGCAUUAAAAUUAAACAAGCCUGUAGGAACUUUUUGAAAGGAAAUCUGCAAUCCCAAGUGGUGGAAAAGUACAUUGAACUAUCACAACCUAGAAAAAAAAAAGAAGUGCGCAAUGGAAAACGAAACAUUAUUAGAAAUGAGAAGCCAACAAGGUGUUUAUAUAUAGGGUGGAAACACAAAGCAACAGGUCAUUUUAAAAUAGUUUCAGCUAGCAAGGGCGGUGGGCAACGGUUAUUGGAUGUCAGGAAAGAUAGCUCCUAUACUGAACUGGUUAAGUUGAUAUGUGACUGCUAUUUUCCGAAUGGUUACAGCAAAUGGCAGGAUUUGAGUAUCAAUGAUGUAACGUAUUUCAUUGGAAACUUCACUGGUGAACCAGUACCGACAACGGAUGGGAACUUCACAUUCUCCAGUACAUGUCCACGCAAGCAUCUUUCCCCAUGAGA
rnacentral:lncRNA from 1 species